rnacentral:rRNA from 1 species
GCGGAGGAAAAGAAACCAACAGGGAUUGCCCUAGUAACGGCGAGUGAAGCGGCAAUAGCUCAAAUUUGAAAGCUGGCCUUUGGUCCGCAUUGUAAUUUGUAGAGGAUGCUUUUAGGCAGCCGCCGGUCUAAGUUCCUUGGAACAGGACGUCAUAGAGGGUGAGAAUCCCGUAUGUGACCGGCUCAGGCACCUUCUGUAAAGCUCCUUCGACGAGUCGAGUUGUUUGGGAAUGCAGCUCUAAAUGGGAGGUAAAUUUCUUCUAAAGCUAAAUACUGGCGAGAGACCGAUAGCGCACAAGUAGAGUGAUCGAAAGAUGAAAAGUACUUUGGAAAGAGAGUUAAAAAGCACGUGAAAUUGUUGAAAGGGAAGCGCUUGCAAUCAGACUUGGCCUCGGUUGUUCAACCGGUCUUUUGACCGGCCUAUUCAAUCGGGGGCAGGCCAGCAUCAGUUUCGGCGGCCGGAUAAAGGCCUUGGGAAUGUGGCCUCUCCUUCGGGGGAGGUGUUAUAGCCCAGGGUGUAAUACGGUCAGCUGGGACUGAGGUCCGCGCUUCGGCUAGGAUGCUGGCGUAAUGGUUGUAAGCGGCCCGU